AUUCCCUGGCACGGGGACUUUAUUUUCAUAACAGCAAGCGGUGCAGUGGAACUGGAAUAGGCGUGUCCUCUACCCCACCCCACCCUGACCCUCCCCCGCCCCUUGUGCCUCUGCUCACCCCUUCUCUCCCUCCUCCCGCCGGCGACAGCCGCCUUUAUAACUGCUCCGCGCCGGGAGGGCGGGAUUGCUGCCCGCGGGCUCCGCUAGCACCGAGGGGCUCCUGUGCUGCCUCUGCGCGCGGGAAGCAGCGCCAAGUUCACUCGCCAAAGCCAAGGUACCAGGAUGACAGAAGGAGACAGAUCUCAUAAGAAGGAACAUAAGAUCAGCUCUGGGCAAGAUUCAGGGUUGCGGGUAAUUCCUGCUCAGAUAAUCUGGGGUGGGCCGCAUACAGUCAGUUCGAAAACCUACUAGGGCUGGACGUAAGUAACUCCAGACACCUCCCCACCUCUCUGGGGAAAGAGGAGUCUCAGAGGUUGCAAAGGAGAAGCUGAGAGACCCUUCACAUGCUGGAAUUUGUCCCUGCAUCCCAGUCAAUGCUGUGUGUCAAGGCCAGUCUAGGGCCAGUCCUGCUCUAGCAUCCCUGUGGCUCUGUCUGGCAGGUGAGCGUUCACCUUGCCUCUUGAGCCCAGCCCCUACUCAGACCCUUCAACCUCACCUCCAGCCCUGGUCUGGGGUUUGGUUAGGAGUUUGCAGCACAUAUUCUUUCAAUGACAGGAAAUGGGGCAGGAAGGAGGAUGAGGGGGAGGGAGAAAGUGAUUUGGAAAUUGUCUACAAGGAGUUCCCCGGAGGGAUGAACAGAGGAACUGGACAUGGGCUCAGACCCCCUCGUUCAGCACCCAGCCCUGCUUUGGAGAGGAUGGAGGUUCCAGGAGACGGUGUCCGCACACAGAGGCCGCUGAAACCCCUCUUUCCUAAAGGGGCGGAGUCACAGGGCUGGGAAUUGAGCGCAGCGACUCCCUCCUUCCCUGUCCUCCCCUCCCCCUCAGCCCCGGUUUCUGGUUCUUCUUUCUCCUUUCCCUCUCCCUUUCCUCCCUCCUUCGUUUUUGUUUUUUUAACCUUUCUGUCAUGCCUGGGCUCACCUGAAAAGGGCUUAAGGCAGUGCUGAGGGAUGUCAGGGUCUUGGUUGUGGGUGUUGGUGGAUUAUUGGACGGCGGUAGUUGGCUCAGCUGCUGUAAUAAGUGAAGAGGGUCUCACCCUCAUGACUCAAAGUCCUUUCUCGUGUCUCAGGCCAGAGGCUGCACACGCUGAAGCCUCACCAUCUCCCUCCAGAGUGCAGGGUUUAGUCAAUCAGGGAAGUGAGUGCGAGUGAAUGACUGGAUUCCAGUAAAUCCCUCUGCUUACUGUCUCUGCUUGCUCAGAAUCCACGCUAGAGAAGACACCUGGGGUCACUUAGACAGGAGCCCAGCCGCGGACAGGGCUGCCCCCCGUUUCGUCUUUGUAGGAGCAAGUCCUUUCUUGGUUGGACCCUAGGUCUCUCUGCCCUUUUUUGUCUUUGCUGUGCCUCGCAACUCGUGGGAUCUUAGUUCCUCGACCAGGGAUUGAACCCGGGCCACGGCAGUGAGGGCGCAGAGUCCUAAGCAUUGGACCACCAGGGAAUUCCCAUAGGUCUGUCUGCCCUUGACUCUGGUUAUGAGCAGACAUAACCAGACCAGAAUCUGGUUAUGACUCUGGUCAUACGAUGUCCAUAUGAGCACCAGUUCCAUUUCAUUUUCUCCUUCUGCUCCAGCCCUUAGGUUCUUCUCUGAGGCUGUUGCUUUAGCUCCUGGCGGUUUCUAAUCCUAAAUGCUGAUGCUUCCCUUUUCUUCCUCAAACCCUGCUUGCUAGAAGACCUCAGCUUCUCAGAACCCUGUCCUUCGUCCCCAGCCACCUUCCUGGUGGCUCAUCUGGGCCAUUCCCUAUGUGACCCAGCGCCUCCUUAGUGCAGACCUGCUUGUGAGCGCGUUUGGUGAGUUUGAUUUCUCUCUGACAAAAUUCAAAGUGCUUAGGACACUUCAGACUCGUUGCGAAAUCGCUGUCAUGCUGGGGAAGGGGUGGAGGAGGGUGAAUUAGGUGGAAGAGGGUGGAGGAGAGGUGAAGUAGGAAGGAUAAUUCCAAAAAAAUUAGUCACUCAGAUAAAAAAUUACUUUCUCAGAAGUUUUAAAAAAAACCGUUUGAGAGAACUGAGAACUAUGAACCCUAACUGGAUAUUUGAUAUUAAAGGGUCAUCGUUAAUUUUUUAUUUUUUUUUUAAUUUAUUUUGCAGUACACGGGCCUCUCACCAUUGUGGCCUCUCCCGUUGCGGAGCACAGGCUCCGGACGCGCAGGCUCAGCGGCCAUGGCUCACGGGCCCAGCCGUUCCGAGGCAUGUGGGAUCCUCCUGGACCAGGGCACGAACCCGUGUCCCCUGCAUCGGCAGGCGGACUCUCAACCACUGCGCCACCAGGGAAGCCCCAUCGUUAAUUUUUAAAGUGGGGUUAAGUUUAAAAGGGUUUUAUCUUUUAGAGAUACAUACUGAAGCAUAUAUGAACAGAAUGAUGUCUGGGAUUUCUCACUAGAUUAAGAAUGACCUAGUGAGUGGGAUGAGGAUGUAGAUGAAGGAAAACUGGCCAAAUAGUGGUAAGUUUUGAAACCAAAUGAUGGGCCUUCAUUAUACUAUUCUCUUUGUUUUUGAGUAUGCUUGAAAUUUUCUAUAAUAAAAACAAACAUUAACAAAAA